CCAAACUUCAGCCCCUGCAGAAACAGAGGGUUUGUGCUUUGAGUGAGAGCAGAGGUCAAAUUCAGAAAGAGAGAAGGGCGUGUUAGGUGUAUGUAAGUGUGGUGGGAAGCUCAGAAGAAUGUAAGUUUGGGAUUUGAAAGCAUCACACUCCUGAAUUAUGAUUAUUUAUUAUGAUGAUAGUGCCUAGAGGCCCCAGUCUCGUUGUGCUAAGGACUUCACAGGCAUAUAAUGAAGAGACAGUCCCUGCCUGGAAGAUGAAUGAGGAAAACCUCCCUAAAGGGGGCUGGGAACAGGUGUGGCAUAUAUCCAUCAAGCUGAUGGAGCGUGUUUACGAGAUGGGUAUGUAACUGUGUGCAAGUGUAAGAGAGACAGCAAGACAAGGAGAAAGUUGGAUGGUAAUUUUCAUCUCCCUGGCUCUGAAGAAGGGUUUUGAUUAUUUUUAAUCCUCACCUUUCUUCUCCGGUAAUGAUUAUCCACAGGUAAGAAAUGAAUUAUCAAAAAAGUUUGAGUGAUUUUGCUGAAAAUCUGGAUGCUGAGAGAUAUGUUUCAGUCAUUUGCUCUAUCUUUAAGCAAGUCACUUCAGCUUAGACUUUUUUUUUUAAAGGUAAUUAAGUACACAGUCCCCAUGAUGUCUCUUUAAAAAUCUGGCUUUCUCUAAUCUUUUAGUGCUUCAGUUUUAGGGGAAAAAAACGGAUAAAGAAACAAGUUUUUUCAUGAGCAGCAGAUUUAGUGAAGCCCCACGGACUUGUAGCUUGUGUCUUCCAACGUAGAUGGCUGGCAACAUCUCUGUCCUUGCAGCGUCCCCCACUGUGCUGGGCUGGGCAAAGCACAAAAUAUUGUCUGGAGCUUUUGGGGAGGGACCUGCUGCUCGUGACAGGUAAGCUUCUGGGUUUUAGCUGCCUUGCCUUCAUUUGGGAAACUCCUUUGAAAUUCUGCCCCCUGUCAGAUUUGCCCAAGAUUGGACCACGGUCUCCAAAGUUACACGAUGAGGAGGGAAAUCAGCAAAUGUGCUGGCAACACAGUCACAGAAAAAGAUUUGUUUCUUCGGCAGUCAGGCUAGGACCGAUGUUCGCUUACAGCAACAUCCUGGAAACCUGGGGGUGAAAUUUGCCUAAUAUUGAGGAAGCCUGUGCUUGCUAAGGGUUAAUGCAUCAACUGCUCUGAAGCUCAUUAAAGAGAGGGGAACAGAGCAUUCUGCCCAGCAGUGGGGCAUGGGGCUUCUUGAGUACUUGAGGGAGCAAAAGGAGCAGGAGAGAGAUGGAUUUUUUUUUUUCUUUUAGUUUUUAGAACAAUCACCAACAAGAAGAAACUUAGCUAUUCUUAGUCACAUCUAGGGGCUAUGCAUAUUCCGUCCUGCUGAAUUAUGGAAUAUGAUAGCUUUUAUUAAAUCCAUUACAAUUACAGCCUCUCUGCUGCACAGGUUUAGAAUAUGGAAUAAGUAGGGUGCAUAAUUUCAAAUAAAUAUUUAAGAUUUUGAUGCAUGAUAGUUUUAGACUCUUAGAACAUAGAAUUAUAUUUCGUUAUGUCUGUUUGCUUUUAAUUCACGCACGUUUUCGUAUCUAGCUACUUUGUAGUGUUAGAAACUUUAUUGUUUAUUGUUUUUAGGUUUCUUUUUGUUUGUUUCUUAGUGUUUGUACUAGGAAAAACAUCACGGCUGAUGCAGUUCUGCCCAUUUCUACUGGUGGCUUGACUCUUCUGUAAAGUGGUUGGAUAUAUAAAGUCAGAGAUAAGGGAGAAUUUCCUGUAAAGUUGAAAUUAAUUCAGGAAGCGUGUAACUGGAAAAUGCAUUGGUCAAAAAUUUGUCAAAAGGAAAAAAAAAAAGGACAAACUCUGUUGAACAAAAAAGUGGCAAGUGUGACAAUUUGGGUUGUGUCUCUUUGCAGGGGACCUAGGAGCAGUAGGAGAGCAGGAGGUGUGAACACUGCUGUUACCCCGCAUCUCCAGCUAGCAGCUGCUCUUGGGCUCUCCUGUGCUCAUGGACCUUUCUCCUCCAUGGCACAGAGAAGUUUCUGCCAGUAGCCUUGCUGCUCAAGCCAACAGCUCUCUGCAGGCGUCUCAGCAGCUUUUGGUUAAUCGUGCUGCCCCUAGCCUUGGGGUAGGGGCUUCACAAAACCAGAACUGGACCACCUGAUCCCUAAAGUGUCAGAAGCUCUCAGAGGGAGAAGCAGGGAGGGGUAGCUCAGGAUUUCCCUCGCGGGUUGCCCAGACAAAUGACGCAGGAGCUGAUGAAGAGCAGCAAUCUGUAUUACCUCUUUGUGAACAAGGAUGGGAAUCUCUGAGCACGAUAGCAAGAGGGAAAAACCCCUCUGCAUGAUUUGUGUGUGCUUCCUUUGUCUUCCCCACACCUGCUCCCUUUCCUCUUCCGUUCUCCCCACCCACCCUUCAAGAAGAUGCUCUAGGUGUUGGCUUUGACUUGGCUGCCAAUGCUCUGCGGAGAUGUGUUAAUGAUGACUGGCAGCUUUUAAAAGUGCUGUUUCAACACCUUGCUGUCACCACACCUCAUACUUCAGCAGCUUAGCACAUGUUCCAAGGUGUUUAAAGAGCUUCCCGUGCAGCCCUUUUCCAGGCACUAACCCCUUGCCAGGAGCAGUAGCAGCUCCUGACCGCACUUUUCUGGCUGCGACCUUGUUAGUAUUUGCCUACGACAUGUAAAUGAGCAGCGUGGUCGUUAGCUAGUGAAAUGUGUAAUGUUUUCCAUUGUGUGGAAGGCUCUGAGCUGACAAGAGCAGAGCCUGUGUUCCAAAGUCUAAAGCAGUUGGCAGGUUUCUCAGUACCAGUUUUUUAUGCCCCCGAGUGGGUUAUGGAGCGGAAAAGGGGGUGGAGAGGAAAGAGGGAGGAAUGUGUGUGGAUGUAUGGUGGGGGGAGAGUUAGCGGGAGAGAAGGGCCAUUUGCAAGCCACCAGCUUUGAAUUUAGCUCGCUUGGGCCUUGUGGUGGUGCUGAAGGGCCUGUUGGGCUCAUUUGAUUGACUCUAGGCUUAAUGCUGCUUGCCACUUACCAGCACUUGUCUUUGCUCAUUAGCAGGGGGAUUGUGGGCAAAUAUUUAGAUAUUCAGGAGAGGAAAUGUUAAUCUUUGCUGUGUUCACUGAAUAUUUAAAUGAGGCGGCAGGCAGUUUUGCUCUGUGUUUGACCUAGACUUACAGUGCUGAGCAAACACUCGAGUCCUAGGAUGAAUUUGCAGACUUACACCUCCCUGCUGCUGGGGUUGGAGUCCUGCAGUGAAAUUCAGACCUUUUUAGGACAGGCAGUGCAAGCAGCCUACAGAAGCCCUCCUGUGUGUCAGUGGUGCAGAAGCUUUGAUCACAGCAAUUUGAAGCACAGGGAAGUGCCACCCCCAUGCAGUUAGAAUAAUGCUGGCUGUGUUACAGACCCUCUGCUCCCUGGGCAGGAGAUGGCCCCCCAGUUAUGGCUGAAGGUGGCCAUGACUGAUAAUUACCAAUAGACUGAGCACUCAGAACACUCCUUUUGAUUAAAAAAUGAGGAAAGUACAGGUAUUCUCUUGAGGCUUGGACAGGCAGAUCUCCCAAGCGAAAGCAUGAAUUAGGAACUUACCUUGUUUGGAGAUGAGCAUGGUGUUUGUGAUGGUGUCCUGAUGUCUCCCAUGUUGCUCUGGUGGGCUGGUGGAUAGACUAGCUACCUCCUCCGAAUGUGAAAUGGACUCAGGUGAGGUUAAUUUGCAUUUGCAAGCUGGAAGUGGGUAAUGAGAAGUGUCUUGCAUCAUGUCUCAUCACCCAGAACAUUUCUGGAAGUUUACACAUUUGUUUUUUCUGUUCUUUCUCAUUGCUACCUCCUGUACUUAUUCUAGACAAUGAACAUGGAAGCAUGAAAAUCUAGUUGAGCAUCAAAAUCGAAAUCAUUGCAGCUUUGUAGGAAAUGAUCUCAGUGGAUAAGGUUAAAAGACAAAUGUUAAGUAAGAGACAGAGUGCCAAAAACUGGCAGCUGCUUAUUUAACCCAUGUUUUAAGGGAGCGUGUUUAAUGGAUCAUGGUACUAGCUUUGCAAGGUAAUGAAACAGGUAAGGUAAAGCCAGAUCCUGACAGAUGCUGAGCAACUGCCCUGGCCCAGUAGUAGCUCUCUGGACCAGAACCUCUAUGGUUAAGUCAAUUCAGUCAACAUGAAAUUAUUAUUUAAUUUGAUCAAUUUACAUCAAAGUCACCUGAGAAAUUAUUCAUUUAUUCCUAAACACAGUCACUGGCUACAUGCUGAAGGGUGACGUGAAAAACAUUUGUUAUGGAUUUUAUUAUUGACAGAGUGCAUAACACAGUUUCUUUAUAUUUUCUGUCUCUUGUAUUCCAGUAGCUGCUAGUCAAUUAAAUAUUUCUCCAGUAAAUUGGAGGUUUAGAAAAUCACCUGGGAGUUGUAUGACUCCUCUUAGUGGGAAUUAAGAGAGUUAUCCUAGAUUUAGGUACAUCUGACAGCUCCCCCAUGCGCAAUUCCUCCAUUGGUGGCUGUGGCCUCUUACCCCUGAUCUCUUCCUGUUUUUCCUUUGGCAUUUUUCCUUUUGUCUUUAUUAUUCCUUUUAUUAUUCAGCCAUGUCCUCAGUGGUUUUAUACCAUAUAGAUCAGCUAUCUGGAAACAAGAGGCAGCAGGCAACUUGUGAGCCAAAAGCUAGCCGUGGCUUCAGCCACAGCAAGAGCUUUGGGUCAUGCCAGCCUGUUCACGGUGGUGGUAACAGGCAUGAAGCCCCACAUUUAUACCAUCUGGUUUCACUUCUCUUGGCUUUUUUAGGUUUGCAGCACCAGACUGGCUGGGCUUUUCCAUGAGUACAGUAAAUGGCUGCUUGUGUGUAAUUUUUGAAAUGCCCUCUUUGAGUCUGUUCUCAUUGUCAGACUUUUUUGUUGUUCUUCUUCCUGAGUAACUCUGGCAUUGUGUUCAGAAACCUCUGGCUUGUAGCUCUCUGCAGAUAUAGGGCACUUGCUGCUCUAGGGAGUGAUGCAGUAAUGGGAGAGAGCAUCAAAGGGAGUCUCCUGCAGUUGGGUUUGUCAGCUGCACUCAAGUGCAUCGCGCCCGGCAGAGUAAAAUUCCUGGUACCGCUUCCUCCACUGAUACUCCCUCAUCACAGCCUUCCCUCCUCCUCUGUUACCUUUGCCUGGAGCCCAGCAGGAGGAGGAUGGUGGGGUGAGGGGCAGCACUAAAAUAAACCCAGAAGAGCCUAACACCGAACAGAUUCCAACCUGUAUAGGACAAUUCCUCUGUUAGGGAGUGUGCCCGUCUUUGCACUGUCUGAGGGUUGUUCUUCAGUUGCUGUUUUAGGCCGUCUGAUUUUGAAAUGAUGCUAGCUGUAGGGAAAUAAAAGCAUGUUUAACUGGGGCUUGUGCCAAAGAUGCAGUGUAACGUAACUCGAGGUAGAAACAGGAAAGGUCAUGUUCACAUCCGCGUCUCCUCGCUUCUUCCUCUGGAGCUUCUGUCUUGGCAGGUGUCUGUAGGAUAGAUGGCAAAAGAUAGUGGCUUGUGCUCAAGAAAAUUCAAAGCAGCAGCAAUAAUCCCAGUAAUAGGGCAAGUCAAAGAGCUGUAAGAUAAAGAACAGAUAAUGAGGAUUUGAACGUUAUAUCUCUUUUCUAUGUUUUUCUCUACAGCUUGAGAUGUGUGUUCCAGUAGCGGGUUUCCAACUGAAAAGUUCAGUUCAGAAAGGAGAUGGGUGUCCCUUUGUCCAUGGCACAGGCUGCAGAAGUUCUCGUCUCUGCCACUUGUUCAGUUCUGGCUGUGACAGUUAAAAGAGAAAAGUCAUUCUCCGAUAGAUUUAAGAAGCCAGCAUGAAACAGGUCCACUGAUUUAAUUGCCAAUACCUAAAGAAGCUUGUCUGAUGGAAGAUUAUCACUGUUAUUGAUUGGAAUGGGAGGUAACAUGCGCUAGGACAGCUUCAACAGAGGAGCCAGCAUGACUUGGGGAGCUGUUUAGAGAGGCAGGGAUGUAUUCUGUGCUGGUGUAGCUAUUAUUCUUCAUAAGUGAAUUUAGCCCAUGUGGAGGAGAAGCAAUUCCCUAUGCUCGCUUUGCCCUCACCGCUGACCUCCAAGCAGGGAUUAAGUAUUACACUGACUUUUACCUAGCAGUGAGUUAUAGUCUAUGUGGAUGGAGGCUCCUGUCCCCAGGAUCAUUUCUCUCCUGCUCUCUCAGUAUAUGCUGUUCUUGCUGGUUUAUUGCUAUUUCUGGUUUUUGUUUCAUUGGUUGGUUCUUUUUUAUCAAAAAGUAAUAAUUAAAGGAAAAACAAAUCUUCCCUUCAUCGCCAACCAAAACCAUAAAGGGAGCAGGCAGUUUGUGAUUCUUGGUUGCACGUGGCAGGAAGAAAAUAUUUAAUUCAUUUUCUAGCAUGAGCCAUUGCAAACAUGAAAGGGACAUUGUCAACUAAUUUGCUUUUUCCCACAAAGUGUUGCACAACCCAUCGAGGAGAGUGUCUUUUUGGUGUGGUACAUGCCAAGCUCCAGAAAGGAAAACGCUGCUGAAGCGGUGCCAGCUGGCUGCGUGCCCAUGCUCCAUUUCCAAAGCCAAGGUAAUGGCAUCAGCAAGGUUGGCAUGAAAGCAGAAACAAAACAAUCUCAGCAUCUUGACUGCAGGCGCCCUUUGGAGCAACUCCUGUGUGAGAGAGGAGAGGAGAUGGAAGAAAAAAGCGUUUGCCCUAGUAAAAAGUGUUUGGGGGAAAAAAAGUCCAGUGAGCCAAGUUGUUGGUGGAAGUGCAGUUCUCUGAACACCAGGAGGUUCUGGGGAGCAGUCAGCUUCAGUCAGAUAGCUCAGCAGGAACUACCUAAAUCCUUCGUUUUUACAAGUAGCAAAAUGUAAAUAUUGACAGUGUUGAAACAUUAUCUGCUGAAAGUAAUUCCAUUUCAGUUUUUUUAUGACAUGGCAAAAUAUUAACUGAGCUGUACGUCUUUCUUUCUUAUGUACUAAAGAAUUAAAUAAAUAUUAAAUCCAAUAAAAAUAUAAUUGUUGCUAUGAAAGCAGGAGCUUGAACCUGUACUAAACGAGCUUUUGUUCCCCCAGCAUUACUGGUUUAGGGUAAUUCUGAAUUUUCAGUUUCUUGUUAUGGUUCAUUACAGUUAGGGAGUAUUUCUGUCAUUAUGAAACUUUGUACAGAAACUGUUUGCAGACCAGCUUUAAUCAAGGUGUGCUCUGAGAUCAUUUUAACUGUGGAUACACAGUUUAAUCUUUCAGUGUAUUUUAGAACAGUUAGAUAAGAGGACCUACAUGACAUUACGUAUAAAAUACUUGGUAUUUACCAUGGGCCCGUACAUGACCCAGUGUUUCCUGCUGAGCAGUGGGGUUUGUUAACUGGGGUACAGUCCCAUUCUGGUGUGUCUAAAGGACUUUAGAAGGGAGAGGUUUCCAUCCUGCUAGCUAGGAGUGCAAGUGAAGCUACCUCACAAUUAUCUACGUUCGUUUGUUCAGAUUUGUGGAUCAGCAGAAUUGACUCAAGGGAUUUUGAGGUCAUUUGAGGAGUCAGAGGGACCCGUCAGUGCUGCUUUGGUGCCAUGGCUUACUGCUCUGAAAGUGUUUCUGAUAACUCACAACAAGAGAAGUGUAAUGGAUUUUCAGGGUGUUACAAGAUGCCAAAGACUUCACCGCCACCCUAACUGUGACUGGUUAAACCUUUUUUUUUAAUGUAAUCUGCCUCCAGCACUGUCCAGACUAUUUUGCCUUUAUUUACCCAUAUUUUUUUCAUGUUUUUUUUUGUUCUUUUUGUUAUAGGAGCAAAAUAUAGAUACAGCUGGAGCCAUCUGUACGUUGCUGUCUUUUUGAGCAGUGGAAGAUGAGUGUAGACUGUAGCAAUGUGCUUGUUUAGAUCCUCUGCUCUCUUCAGCCACUCUGCUCUCAGUCAUUCCCAGCAAUAACAUGUGAGGUUUAUCUUUUGUUGUGUAGCUUGCUGGGCAGAAGCCAGGAGGUUAAUGCAUGCUGGAAUGUCAUCCCUAGCAUGACACUGCAGUGGAGGUGUUGGAAUUGAGCGCUGGUAGAUAUACGUUUUAUUCCUGGCCAAAUCAUGGACUCAUCUGUUUCUUUUGCCAUUUCUCUCCUCCCAGAGAAGAUUGGGCAGUGGUGCUCUGUACUUGGCAGGAGUGCUGCAAAGCUUGUUGGACGUAUGUUGGUGGAGUGCUCCAUGGAUGUCAGACAUCAGUAGAAGUUCACAGUGGUGCAUUUUCCAAUGACUCCAUCCUCUUUCAUUUGCCCUGAUGAGCAUUAAUUGCAGAUGUCCCACCUCUGGGGAAGGAUUAGGCCUUCUGUCAAGAUUUCUGGUGCUGGGUGUUGAGAAGGAGAAGAUUUUUGAACAGUAGUUAAAUCUGUGAAAUUUGAGCAUUCUGAGGCUUUGGGGGUUAGAUUUAUCCCUUCUUUUCUUUGAAGAGGGAAUAUGGUAGGAAAUAAAAUAUUACAUCAAAAACUGUACUUUAGUUCUUAAGAAAAAGUAUUAUGUGUACUCAUCGUGUGGAAAUUACUAGUAGGUCAGUUUCCCAAACAAGUAAAGGUUCUUAACACUUGAAUAGAAAUAAUUAGACCAAACAUAGUAGAGAUGAGAGAUGCAAAGCAUGCCCAAGCACUUCUAAGAGACUAUGGUUGUGGUUAGGUGUAUUCCUAAUGCGUAGGAGAAACCAGAACAUUCAAUACAGAAAACAUCAAAAAUGUUAGCUGUAAAAGAAAAAUGAAAAAUGAAAGUGAAAAAAGUUACUCACCAAGGUUCUACCAGAAAUGCUACGUGAAUAGAGACCUAGAGAUCUAGAUAGAUAGACCUAGAGAUCUAGGUCUGGAAUACUUACUAACGUAAGGAAUAUAACAUAGGAAUACAUUUGAAAGAACAAAAAUGACCCUAAACUCCUUGAGCAUUUGAAGUAGAAGGAGGUUUAUUGAGGGUUAACGGGCAUCUUUCAGAUCUCUGCAAGAGGAAGGGAAGCAGUCAAAGAGAAAAGGAAAACUUCAGAGCAGCUAAAUAUUCUUUUGGUUCAUCUUUCUUCUUUUCCAGCAGACACUGGCAAUAGUUACCACUGCAGCUUUAUUACUCUUUUCUGAUAAUAAAGGUGAGACACUGAGGUGUCAAGAAGCAGUAUUCUGGAAGGAUUAAAUGGAUUGCAUCCAAGAGCACUGAAGGAAUUAAAGAUAAAGGUCUAAGCUUGCACUUAAACAAGCAUCUUCUGGGGUUUACUUGGCAACCAAUUUCUAGCUCUUCAACUAAUACUCCCAAGUGUCAUUUAUGAAAAUUUUGGUGGAGUUUUUGUUUUGUUUUGUUUUUAAUUUCUGGUGAACAUUUUGCAGACAGAAGGAGGCAGGAGUGGAACAACAGCCCCCCGAUCUGUACAAUUAAGUGCUGCAUGUCAUCUCAGAAAUUACAGGCUCCUGGGCUAUAUUUCAGUACCUGGUAACUAAAAAUGGCUUAGUGGUCAGAAAGUCAUCGAUGUUUGCUUCAGAGGUAGUAGUUAUUGGCAGAUGCCCAAUAAAAGGCUGAGCUAUUUUGUCAUCUGUCAAGGAGAUAGGAUGGUGGGGUUUAGGACCACUGCUUUGGUUUAUAAUGUAAAUGUAUAUGUCUGUUAAUUCUGUUUUUAAUUAGCUGCAUCAGUCUGGGUUUGCUGCUUUUGUAUGCUGUGUUUUAGUGACAAUUGACCGUUUUUACCUUUUCAGAAGGAGAAAGAUGUAAAAGCAGCUCUUGGAGUCAGUCUUUAUUGACUACUUGUGCAAUUCCUGGUUACCCUGACCAAGGUCAAGAGAUUGUGCCCAGGCAAUAAUUCGUCUGUCACAAGAACUCCUGUGUGACUCCUGCCGAUCGCUCAGAUUGCCCGCAGCAGCUGCCUUCGCUCUUAAGGGAGGAGCUAGCUAACAAAAGAAAUCCUGAGGAGAGGGAAAAAGCAUCGUAGCUAUGACGAGGAAUUAAACAGACCAGGGAUCUUCAGCCUGCGAGGCAGCUGAGGAAGGAUCCAGUAGAGGUCUAUAAAAUUGUGAGUGGCCUGGAAAAAUGAAUUGGUUGCUACUCUUUUACUUCAGUUACCAGAAAAAGCAGUUUCAGAAGAAACCAAAGGAGCCAUGAGAUGGAUUCUGAAGAUUUUGUCUUGAGGGGAAAAGUGCCCUACCCUUUUGCUGAAAUGUCUGCAUUAGGUCGUGCUGUUUGAUUUUACUUUAUGUUAAGAUCUUGGAUCUGAGGCUCAAGCUGGUGAGAAAAGCUUCCACAGCAUCGCUGCAGGAUGACUGUGCCUAUGCAAUAACCACACACAAAGGUGCUUUAUUUGUACUUUAAUGAGAAAAAUCACAAACGUGCAAGUCCAUUUGACAGUUCCAUUACUGAGAAAAAAUUGCCUUUUCCAGAGAAGCUUGGGGUUACCAUGUAGUAUGUCCAUCUAACCCAUGGGACCUACAGGAUACUAUAGCAGAGGACAGACUUCUGUCAAAUUGCAGAAAGAUAAAUUCUGCAAAUAGAAGAUCAGUCAAAUUUUUUAUUCUUAAAUCUAAGCAGAAAUCUGAUGUAGUAUUUAAAGUGAUCAUCUAUUCCACAGGUUACGGUAUUAGGAGAACAGAGAAGAGCAGAUUAUAUUAAGGAAGUCCUAUGACAUAGAAAGAUUUUAGAGAUCAAGUGUCGACAUUUCUUGAGAGGUUUGUCUUUAGAAGACCUAGACUGAGUUCAUCCUCUAAAAUCAUACAGUGGAGAGAUUCAAAACUGUGUCUCCUGGUGUGAUUUAGUGCCCUGCAAUUACUGUCCAUCUCUGGAGUGAAUUACUUCUUUUUCUUUUUUUACAUGGGUUAAGGAUGGAACAUGGAUAGGAUAAGCCCUAGCUUGUUCUGUCCACUAAUUGUCCCUAAGAUGCACCACACAGGACAGUCACGGUGUCUAGUUAAGAUCUGUGGAAGUCAGUUUAGCAGAUAGUGACAGAAUUAGGAACUGUGUAUGUUUGAAGCAAAAGUGGAUUUUGCCAGUUGCUUGGGCAUCAAGGCUUUAGGAUCAACAUUGUGAUGAAGAGACAGCCUGCUGACUAUGAAGAACAAAGGGGAAAUCUUGGUAGGAUUUUCAUACACGCCCCUUUUUCUCUUUGAAGAGGAUAGUUGUUGAGACAGGGAGCUCUUUGGCCAAGGUUCUCAAUUUUUUUACCUUGCUUGUAUAACACCUAGCACAAGAGUGCCCUUACUACUUGCUUAGGAUUCCUUGGGAUUCUCGUAUUAUACUUUGGAAACACUCUGAGAAAUAACUAUUCAUGUAAUAGAAAUACCAAAAGGAACCUUCCCAGCACCCCUUCCCCUGUGAGAGAUCCUUUGUGGUUUCUCUCAUACCCUCAAGGCUUGUGAGCGUGAUUUUAUCCCAUGCCAAGUGACACUUGAAUUUCCCAGUGCUGAGGUUUUUCUCCAUUUUUGUCUAGGUCAACUUCCCACAUGUGUGAGUCUGAGUGGAGCCAUUUCAAGGCUCAGUCUCCAUAGGGUGCUAACCAUGCCAAAUCUCUGACCACAUCCAAAUUCUAGUAGAGGGCUUGGAGAUGGCCUCUCUUUCCCCCAAGUUGCCUGCUUAUACUAAAUACUGGGGCAGCUCUCUAAAAUACUGAAGGAACAAAGCAUGCAAGGCAGUAAAAUGAGGCAAUUAAACCUAUAAAACCAGGGUUUACAAGGAAAUUUAUAGUGUCAGAGGCUUUUUAUAGCUUUUUUAGAUUAGUUUAAAUAAAAAAGGGGGAGAGAGAAAAAGACAGGGAGAGAGAGAGAGGACCUGAAACUUGAGGAGACUUGAAAGUUCAGAGAAAGGCUUUUAGGAAACACAGAGGGGUAAUAAUUAGAGGCACAUUUUCCAUUUCACUGUCUUUGCAAAUUGAAAUUAAAGAAGGAGAAAAAAAAAGCAUGCACAAAAUAACUGGCAGUUUACAUUGCUCCCACUUCCUGCUAUUCCCAUUUGAUUUUUCUGUUGCUGUUCUUUUGUUUUCUGGUCAGGUGAAAACGUCUUUUCACCUGGGCAAAGGAACUAAAGUGAAAGUGAUCUCAGGUAAACCAAAAUGGUAUUUGUCUGGUUUUUUACCCUUCUCUGCUAGGCCUAUACUCGCUUGGUUUUAUAGUGCACUGUGUGCCUUGCAGCUCUAGAAGCUUGUGUUCAAGAGCUAAAAUGGAGCCAGCACCUGAUUAGGGCAGAUUUGAUCAGGUAAGACAAUAGGCCCUGUGUUUUAAAGAGUAUGCCACAUUUCACAGCUUCUCCUGCUUCCUUUCCCACUGCAGUGCACAAUGUGUGCGUGAGUACAAACACACACGUCAGCUUGUACCCAGUUAGACCCAUUCUUGGCUUUAGUCUGCUUCUACCUGGAAUGAAUGAAAGGUGAUCCAGAUCUUUCAAAUCCCACAUCCUUCUCUGUUUUCCAAGUAGAUCCUUAAAAAGGCCAAAGUCUGCUGCUCUGCUAAUUGUCUUGCUGUUGUACUGUUGUUUUGUAAUUUUAGUCUUUUUAGAAAUGUCUCCAAAGUCUGUGCUUUGUGAUGGUAAGGACAACAGUCUCACCUUACUCACAUGGUUAUGUCAUUCUAAUGUGAAGGGGAAAUGUCCACUGGCAACAUCUUUGUCAUCAUUAUGCUAUCUGCGUUUAUGCCAUUCGUAAAAUUACUCUUUUUGUGGUGUUUCUGAGAUGCUGCCCACUGCAGCUCUGUUAGAGAGCUGAGUGCUGUCUUCAUGAAACACAUUGCUUCAUACCAUCUCUUUACCUCAUUUUCUUUCCCAGAUAGAGUAUGCUGUGAUUGGUGUGAUAGAGUAUAAAUUCUGUUUGGUUGCUAAGUAUGCAAUCAGUAAAUUACUAAUUAACCGUAGCAAUUCAUCAUCCUUCUACUGUGUAGAUUUUUAGAGAAACCUACCAGUUCUCUAAGGCAAUAAAAAUAAACUUAGAGCAAGAUUGAAAACAGCAACCUGCACUUCAGGUCAGUUUAAACUGCUUAUGUGGGAACAUUUUGGCUAAUGGGGAUGGUGCCACAGGAGAAGUGUUCUGCCAUAGGAGAAGCAUUUCACUACCCUUGAGUUCUUCAGAGGAAAGGAAGAUUGUUCUUUAUAAUCUUUGGCUAAUUGGAGUUGAUGCAUUCAUUGUAACAGAUACAUUGAUAAUCCGAAUAUCUACGGAGCACAGUGAUUGCUUACUAGCUGAGUAACACGAGUUUUUUCAAGCACAGUUAUUUUUUUCAGGUGUUACCUUUUGGUGUUCACAGUUCCUGUUGUGGUAUCAUGAUACCAUUUUGGUUUCUUCGCCCACCUGUCUUAAGCAUUCUAAGCAGCAGAGGGAAUGUUGCUAUUCCAUUCAGGUUUUGGGAACAUUUGUGUUAAAACUGGUGAAGUAUGUGGCAUUUCAUUAACAUCUUUUCAAGCACUCUGAAACAGGUACUAUCUGGGGGGGAUGCAGGGUGAGGUGCUCUGUUUUUUGUUGGUGGUGGGUUUCUUUUUUUGUUUGUUUUGUUUUUUACACCCCCCUCCCCACUUUUGUUUUCUACAACAGCCAUAGAAAGUGGAGUUAAAAAAAAAAAAAAAGAUCAGGAUAUCAACAUGAUAAAUAAUCCCCUCUUGUAAUUUGCCAAUGUCUAAGAUAACCAAGAAAAAAUAAGCUGCAGUGUUGGAAGCAGGUGGGGUCCCUUGCAGAGAAGAGAGGGUAUAGGCAGAUACAGCUCCAAGGAGUCAUUACAGCCAAAUUGCAAAAGGUAUGGGCACUUCUGAAAUGCUCCACACAACUUCCCAUCCUAAAGAAGGUGAAAAGAGAAACACAGUGAGACAAAAUUACCCGUUUCUGAUUGUGUUUAUGUUGGGGUAAUUAUUUUCACCAGAGACAUUGUCAUUUUACAGUGAGAUUAGGAUCAAACCCAAUAUUUCGAAGCUUAGCUUUAGUUUUUAAAGUCUGCAAAUGUAUGCUGCUGCAGGCACAUGAUAAAUAGUUCUGAAAUCAAUAUGGAAAGCUAUUAAAAAUGUGGUUUUGUGUCUAUGUCUAGUAUGGUACAUUAAGAUGCAUGUAUCAUUCUACAUUCUUCCCUUCUCUCUAUAUAUAUGUGUGUGUGUAUGGGUGGAAAUUUUGAAAGUACUCAACAUUGGUCAAAGUGUCCCCAAUGGAAAAUAUAACAUUGACCUCAAAUAGCAUCACAUUUUAGGUCAACGAUGAGUGAUUUUUAAAAUACUACCCUUAAGUAUAUAUUUAAAGAGGAAUUGCUAGAGUGAGACUAAGUUCCCUGAUCCUAAAAUUCUGUCUGAGAAAUGGUGAUGAGAGGGAGAAAAAGGUAGAUAGAGCCCCCCCCUUUCAUUUGUCCCAGAUCAGUACUGCUUUGGCAUUUCUUUUGUGAUUUCCCACCAGGGACUUUUUGUAAUCUGAAGACCUGUUCAAGCAGGAAAGUGAGCUGGCAAUGACUAUUUUACGUCUUUCAUGUUAUUGAAUGCAUCAAAAAACGAAUAGCUGGCUGCACCAAGCUCUCAAAACAACAGGGAAAAAAAUCUUCACAUUGGCUAGCUGCUAAAGACAACUUUUGUUCAGGUAGGAAAAAUCACACCUGUGGAUACUUGAAACAAAUGAUUCUGAACUUCCUACACCUAAGGGGUUUAUUAUUUUCUACAAGGAUCCAUUGUUUUAAGCCAUGCAACCAACAUGUGUUUCUUGAGAUAUCGCUUACCUUUCAAACAAGUAGCAGUUGAGUUUCAGUCGUCAGACUUGGCUGUCUCUGGAUUCAUACGGUUAUUCUGUUCUGGUAACCUGAUCCAGCACAACAGGGCCUCCCAAGGAAGCUCGCUUACUCUUCUCACCCCAUCGCCUCCAAUGGGACCGAGUCAUUGCAUUCAGAGUGCACACAGUGACACCUCCGAGAGACUUGGGCUGUUCUCUUGUCUCACUUCUGCUCUCUCCCAGGCUGGAUGCACGCCCUGGAGAUGGGAAUCAGGAUAGUGGAUGGAGACCAGGCCACUCCUCUUGGCCAGCUAUUCCUGAUUCUUUUUCGUUGGCCACGAGCCAGCCUGCUUGGGCGAUGAGCUUCCCCUGGGACUCUUCACUGCUACUGAAGAAGCUCAAGCUUUAAGACUUUCGUCUGCACCACAAGCAUGUAAAGCACAGGAAUGCUGUCGCCACGUAUAAGGGUGCUGCCACCAGCGUGUUAGCAGAUUUUUUUCUGGGAACUCCUAGCCAGAUAUCAGCAACGAAAAGAUGAAAAAAGCACUGAAAUAGGAGAGGUGUGCCAAUGAAAUGACCCAGCUAUCUGGAACAGAAACCUCAGAGUCUCAGAAAAGAGCUGCAGAAGCCUUUGAAUGUGGGCAGCAAGGGGUUUUCUGGAAGGCACUCUCAGCAUCCCGAAGUCCUAUGCACAGCAGAGAACCUUCCAAGUAUGGAGAAAAAGGCCGGUUCUGUACUGUAAGAACGUGGAUGCAAGCAGCCAAAGAAGGAGAAGAAACGAAUGCCAACAUACUUUCCCUCCAGCAAACUGAAGGGAAAGUAAAUUUGAAGCUGAGUGUGAACAGUAACCAGCUCAUGUGGUGAGUCAGAGUGAGGUCUUGCAUUAGAACUGAAAAGUCAUAAUAUUUCUCCUCGUGGGUGAAACCUGGCCUCCUUCUUUAGUGACUUCUUAGGACAUACCAGCCCUGUCAGCAGUUAUGGCCUGGACCUAGAAAGCAAACUUGAAUUUGUUAUGCCCUGCCUCAGUUAGUUGCCUGUGGUGGCCUGUCUUUUUUGUGUCAUGCCAUCUACACUUGUGGGAGCAACGGUCUUGUUUUUGGACCUCAUUCUGACCAUGGUUUGUGCAGCCACCUUCUUGUGCCAAACCAAGCUGGACUGCAUGGCCACAUCCAUGCUCUCUGGAACAGCACGGGUACAAUCUUGGUGAGUAACUUUGCUUUCCAAGCCAGUUUGACUGGAGAGCAGCUUCCCAGGCUUUUUUGAGCAGUCAGCCAGCUAAGAUCUUACCAAGAGCCUGUUGAACGAUUCCAGCUACCAGGUCUAACCAUAGACAGUCUACAAGAAGAUUAAUUUCUAUACUUACUUUCUCUGUUUGUAGUCACCCCAUUAAUACUUCAGGCUGGAUUGGCAUUGUGUUUCAACUCUUCUCGCCAUUUUGCAUUUCUGUACAAAUAGUAAAAGCUAUUGAAACUACCUACUCAACCUUGGCAGCAUUUCCAACACUCUGUGCUCCAACGGGGCACUUUUCCUUCAGUACCCCAUGCCUGAUUCCUGUUGACGUUUGUCAUGAUAAACAAAAGGGUUGUGUUGCUUUGGAGUGGUGCAGACACGAACAGGGACUCCAGUUCAGUCUCCUAAGUGUGGCUUUAAUGAUCCAAAUCUCAUCUUGGCAACUUGAGCAUGCACUGCUAGUGCUACAGUUUUCUAAGGAAGUGAGGACUGACCACAAAGACCAGUUUUCUUCUCAUAUAUAGGCCUGGCUUGGGUCAGUAAUGUGCAUUGCAGGUUUCAAACUUGGCCAGGGAACACUUAGCUAAGCCUGUCUUCACCAGAGAGCGUUCUCGUUCAAGGAAUGGACAUAAACUAGUCUAUGUCAGUUCGUCUAGAUGCCAUGAUUUUUUCUCCAGAACAGUCCACAAGGAAUUUUGCAGCUUAAGUAUGAAUAUGUAGGUGGUUACUAAGCAGAAGCAUUUUGUCUUACAAUAAAUGACGUCACUGCGGCUGUAAGGUAGGUGUAAGCAAAACCUGGAACUUCAGUGUCUGGGAGCCCUUACCUUUCAAGUUGGACAGGCUGCUGAAUCCAUGAUGCAGGAGGCGGGCAGGGCCUGCAUCAUGCCUUUCUCAUACACAGGGACCUUAAAUUGCUUGAAGUGAGCUCUGUCCAGGUGCUUUAGUAGUUACCUGAAUCGUGCACCUUCCCUCUGUGUGUCUGGGAAGAAGCUGCCUAGAGGGUAACAGGGAAGAAGCGAUGGGAGACUCGGUGGAGUAUUUCUUUCCAAGGGAGUAGAUCCUUUGGCUCAGAUGCUCCAGGAUGUGCUUUGUUGCUAGACUGCUAUUUAGCAAUAAAACAGCCUCGGUUACUUAACGGGAAUUGACUGCUUGGUCACUUCUCCCCCUGCCAGCCCAUCCGUUCUCCCCGGCUUCCCUCCCAUGCAAUAACGACAGCUUUUCCUGAUUGACCCCACAGGCUUACGAAAAACCUUUUUACUUAAACGUAUAUUGACCUCAGUCUUGCUGCCCAGUGAAUUAUGUCACAGCUGGCAAUCUGAAAAUCAUAAAUUAGACCUCAAACCUGUGGAGCUGUCUCCUAAUGAUACGGAUCUGAGCCUUUAUCGAUGAAGGUUCUACCAGGUGCCUUCAAGUCUCUGACAGCUGGCAGGGGGAAUACCCUUUUUAUGUUUUAUUUUGUUUUGUUGUUUUUAUUUAUUUAUUUAUUUAUUUCUAAAUUCAUCCCAUAGGCCCUGUGUUUUCUUUUCUUUCCUUUUUUUUUUUUUUUUAUUUUCCUUCCCUGUCUUUCUUUGCGGUGUGUAUAAAAUUUUGUUACUUGCUUUAACCCACCCUUAAACAGGGAAGAAAUGGGUGAUGUCAAAAUCUGAGGUGCUCUUAAUUUUGGGGCAGUGUAACUUUUAUCAGUCUUUCUUCCCUUCUUAUUGACUGUGUGUUGAUUUUUUUUUCCCCAAUGUUAUGAUCUAGACAAAUGCACUAGACAAAUGAGAAAUUUAAUGAUAUUGGAAGCAUUUCUCCCUUACUCUGUAAUGCAACAUAAUUCCAAUAGAUUCCCUUUACAUUCAUCAUCUUUUCCCCCAUGAUUUGGGAUGUACUUGCUUGUUGUCACUUUUUGGAGGAGGGAUGGGGAACACUCCAUGACAUGUGAAGCAUCACCAUAAAACAGAUCAAGCCUUCUGUCUCUGUACAAGUAUUGACGCAGCAGGAAGGAGGCAACUAACUCCAUGGCAUUGUUUGUAAAAAGAUCUGUGUUGUGCUUGACUUAAAUAGUAAAAAAGCCACAAGUUGUCAUGAUUCACUGUUCUUUUGGGGAGGAAGAGAGGCAGAGCUUGAUCUUCCUCUUCAAGCAGACAGGAAUAGGAAUUAACUGUUCACACAUCUUGCGUGGGUGGCAGAUCCAGAAAAGGAAGGAUAUUUGCUUGCUUUCCCACAUCUCAAAAUAGGGCUACAUAAAUAGUUUGUCUUUGUCUAUGCUGAAAUACGCUGAUAACAAAGCUGGAAAGAAGCUUGUUUUUCAGUUCUUCUAGCAGCAGUGGAAAUGGUAGCUUGGUGAUAGACCCAUUUCAUGUUUGAGAUUUUAGAGGCCUGAUUUUAUAUCUGUGGCAUGUUCCUUCAGUGCACCAUGCGAAUCCAGGAGUGUCCUGAGUUCAGGAUGUUACCACUUUCUCCAACCCAGCCUAGCUCCAUGUCCUGACUGGAAAAUGCAGAAGGGUACGUUUGGUGAUAGCUGUGGGCGGUAUUCAUGACGCUGUGGCCAGACCAGGCAAGGCUGACAUCAGUUCAGGGUUGAUGCUCUUGGUUCUGAAUGUAAUGAGUGAAGUUGUGAGGGCCCUCUGCACCUCUGGGGUGUUCAGUGUUAGGGAUGGAGAUCAGGCCCUAAGAUAACAAGGUGAUGAAAAGCACUUUCAGAAAUACUGACACAUAGACAGAUGGAUAAAAGAAGAUGUUGUAAGAGAGUGUAGAAAUAAAUCCCUUUCAUUCUGCUUUUGAUCUUCUGAGUUUUUUAAAUAUACGUCAUCAAUGAGCUUAUAUCCUGCAAUUUUAACAGCCUUACAAAGUGUUUCUAAAAGAAAUGGAUUUGUGCAUGUAGUUUAAAGACACCAGAUUGGCAUUGUCUUUAUUGAGAUUAAAAUACUCCCCUGCAAUAUUCACAAUGUGACGUCUGUGGAACUGGCAUGUGCAGCGCUGCCCAGAGAACAAAACUGGCUGGAAAUUUCCUCAUCUGCUUUUGUUACUGGGGAGACACCAACUUGUCAAAUGGGAGGAGGCCCUUUGAAGUGUGGAGAUAAGGACCUUUCUAGCCUUCAGUCAUAUCUGAAAGCCAUUUCCAGCCCAGCAGAGGAACGUGUCAUGCAGCUGGAUUGGGUUUGCCCACGUUGUACAGAGGAAUGGACAGGCGGAGUUGGUGCAGAUUCCUCUGUCUGGUUGGCAUCGGCAGCUGGAUUAUCAAGAUGUCUUGACAAAGUACUUCUGCACAGUAUUUUUCAUGUAAUCAAAAGCUGUUAGCACUGAAAUAUCUUCCCCAGAAAGGAUUCUCCUGAGCUGGCUGAACCAUGCAUGCUUUACAGAUAUCCUGGAAGUACUGCAGGAGGAGCUCACUGUUCUUCUCAGCAAAGCUUUCUUUUUCGUCACUUCUGACUCUGCUGGUUUCCUUUGUCAUCCUUCUUAAAGCACCAAUUUCCCAAAUACUAGGACAGAGAGAACUAUGUUGUCAGCUUUCCACUUACCAGUGUAAUGAGUAGGAUCCUGCGUUAACGGGCCCACAGGUCUGAUUCAUGGAGGAAAUUACUGUGUCCUUUCUAAGGAGAUCACAGCUUGUAACAACUAGUGAGAUUCUGCUGCUAAUAUUCUCUGCAAGACUUUUCAGGGCCCUGCUUCACAAAGCAGAAUCCAGCUGCAUCAUGCAUAUGCUGCACAGCUCUCCUGAAGUCAAAUCGCCCACGGCACAAAAGCUAAGCCCACAGCUUCUAGUUUGCCAAGGAAGACCACAAAGCAGGAAAUAAUCCUCAGAGGCUGAUUCCAGCUCCUUCCUUCCAAAAGUGAAUAAAGAGCAAAGAAUCAGGCCUAUUCUGGAGCAUCCCACCUGCCCCUCCCAGCCUAGGGGCACGCUGGCUGUAAGGAUAUGGAGCAUCUUCUGCCUCCUCUGGUGUGGCCAAAGCAGACACACCGUGACUGCUGCCUUGACAUUCUCCCAAGCUGACAUCCCGACCGGUAUGACACUGAUGCCUUUGGGCAGAAAUCAGAGCCGGUUUGCUCCAUGCCUCUGCGUAGCCACGAUGCCUGUAGCGCCUCUGAGAGCCCCCAGUGCCCUGGUGGGGAAAUGGAGCGAGCACGUGGGCCCCAAAUGAACUCCAGGAAGAGAGCAGGCAUUAUCCACAGUGAUCCUGCUACCCAUUUCCAGUUUAAAGUGCUACUUGCAUUUAGACCUCCAGUGACUGUUGAAGAGGAAGGGUGGUCUUCUGGCUGAGUCAUCACCCAGAGCUGUGAGACCUGAUUCAGCUGAAAUGCGAGCAGG